rnacentral:RNase_P_RNA from 1 species
GCAGCAGGCCGGUUUGUCGCUCCGCUUUGUUGGCGGGGAGGAAAGUCCGGGCAACGCAGGGCGCCAUACUUCCUAACGGGAAGCUGUCCGCGAGGGCAGAUCAGGGUAACAGAAAAUAACCGUUCCGCCCGUCGGAACAAGGGUGAAAAGGCGAGGUAAGAGCUCACCGGGCGUUGCGGCAACGCAAUGCGCCGUACCCCUUAUGGGUUGCAAGGCCAUGUAUAUCGGAUGUGUAGGGUUGCCCGCCCGAUGCCGAGGGGUAGGCCGCUAAAGAACCGUGGCGACGCGGGUUCGCAGAUCAAUGACAAACGUGCCUCAGGGCAGACAAAACCCGGCUUACAGGCCUGCUGUUUUU